GGGUGCGAUCAUACCAGCACUAAUGCACCGGAUCCCAUCAGAACUCUGAAGUUAAGCGUGCUUGGGCGAGAGUAGUACUAGGAUGGGUGACCCCCUGGGAAGUCCUCGUGUUGCACCCC
rnacentral:rRNA from 1 species